rnacentral:misc_RNA from 1 species
AAGUCGUAACAAGGUAACCGUAGGUGAACCUGCGGUUGGAUCAUUACUGAAGUGGGAGCCCACUGGGCUCAGCCCUCGGCCUAAGGCCGUUGAGCUUUCCCCAACCUCUUGUGAACUCAUUGUGUCUCUGGCGGCGGGGUGUUGUGAGGCUGUUGCCUCUGUCACCUGUCAGCUUCGGUGUCAUUUUUGGACCCUUGCCGUGGACAAACCGCCAACCGUGUCCAAAACGUUGAAUACAAUUGCAGUCUAAGAUGAAUUUGUUUGAAAAUAAAGUCAAACAACUUUUGGCAACGGAUCUCUUGGCUCUC